AUGAGGAGAUUUUUGAGGGGCUCAUCGAGCCAAAGCUCGAAGGAAAAGGCACCGAAGCCUAAGUAUAAUUUGCCGCGCACCGCGGAGAUUCGGGCGUGUGAAUGGCCUUCUGAUGAUUUCUUGAGAGCAGCCGGUAUCUAUGAAGAUUUUCAUGAAUUGGCUCACAAUGCAGGCCUCACCGCUUUCCUCCACGACCAAUGCAAUCAGUAUCUCUUACUCAAAAAUACUUUUGUGCAAAACUUUCACUUUCAUUCUAGGAACUCACCACCUACAGUGGAGUUUCAUUUAUAUGAUGAGCAUAAGGAGAUGUCACUUUAUGAUUUCUGUCGGAUUUGUUUAGUCCCUUUUGAGGGCAAGACAGAAGAACCACAUCAUGAUGAUGUGGCUAGGUUUAUUGAUACUAUCACUAUAGGAGAAACUAGAAAGGUUUCCGAUGCACGAAUCACUAGCAUACAUUUUCCUGUUUUACGUUACUUUGCAUUAUUUGCUAGUCGUUGUUUAAUUGGAUGCGGAAACUGUGGAAACCUUAGUAUCUCUGAUAUAAUUAUUCUGCUCCAUGGUUUAUACAGUGAUAACACUUUUAGUAUGGGCGGUAUUAUUGCUAGACGGUUAAGUAUGAACCGUACCAAAGGCCCCAUCUUUGGAGGCAUCUAUGCUACACGCCUAGCCGUACAUUUUAACAUACCUAUUAGGCAUGCUGAGAAGGAAGAAAAGGUGCUACCCCGUGUUUAUCUAGAUCAUAAAAGUAUGGUGGCACAUGAUUUUAUUGUUAAGAAUAGGGCAGGAGAGCUUAAAUAUCAAUUGUUCUUUAACAAACAUCAUCUUGAGACUAUUAUCCUACCUGCUCCUUCUUUGUUUGAUUUGACUGUAGGCACGUACCUUGUUCUGUUGACGGCUAUUCACGCCUACGGAACCCUGCACCAGCCAAGGAGCCAGAACCGGAACCACAAUUUGAUCCUUCACGACAGUCUAACUAUCAGUGGGAUCCGGAGAUGA
rnacentral:rRNA from 1 species